rnacentral:rRNA from 1 species
UAGCAGAGAUAUGAGUAAAAAAUUAUACAAAGGAACUCGGCAAAUUUUAAACCUCGCCUGUUUAACAAAAACAUCACUAGAAGAAAUAACUUUUAGCAAUACCUGCCCAGUGCGAAAUAUUACUGUAAACGGCCGCCCUAGCGUGAGGGUGCUAAGGUAGCGAAAUUCCUUGCCUUUUGAUUGUAGGCCUGCAUGAAUGGUUUAACGAGGGUUUAACUGUCUCUAAAUUUUUAGUUGAAAUUGUAUUGAAGGUGAAGAUACCUUCAUUAAGAAGUUAGACAAAAAGACCCCGUGCAACUUUGAAAAUUGACUAUAUUCAGAAGUAAAAGAUUUUUAGGUGGGGCGCCUAGAAAGUAAGUCUAACCUUUCUGAAUAGUAAAUUCUCUCUGGAUUUGACCCGAUCAUAUUCGAUCAUAGGAGAAGUUACGCCGGGGAUAACAGGCUAAUCCUUUAGUAGAGCUCGUAUUGGCUAAAGGGAUUGGCACCUCGAUGUUGAAUCAGGGACGAUAGCUUCAAGGCGUAGAGGCUUUGAAAGUAGGUCUGUUCGACCUUUAAUACCCUACGUGAUUUGAGUUCAGACCGGCGUAAGCCAGGUUGGUUUCUAUCUGCUUUAAAUAAACUCAUCUUGGCAUGUACGAAAGGACCGCUGAGACUGGAAAUUGCUCCAGAAAAUAUUAGAAGAAAAGAUUUAAUGUGUUGGUAAAAUUCCAAAUAAGCCACAGUGGUCUAGAGAUUGCUAAUACUAACCAGCAGUUAAAAAACUUUUUAAAAGUGGAGUAUGGGAAUAUCAGAAACAUUGAAUUAAAACUUGUUUGACAAGAUGGUGGUAUUGAUUUUAAGCUUUUGGAAAAAGUACCUUUAGUAUAAUGGCCUUUUAAGAGAUUUUGCUUUAAAUUUGCACCUCCCGAAAUAAAAAGAUUUUUAAGAAAGCAAAAUAAGAGAUGUUCGAUGUAUGAAUUCUUGAAUAAACUUUGUUAAGGAUGUGAUAUGCAACUUCGAGUUUUAAGAUAGCUGGUUGUUCGAUAAAUGCUUUUAAGUGCAGCUUUAAAUUUUUGGUGCGGUGUGUGUUUAGGGUAGCCCCCACUGAACCAAUGUGUUAAGAGUGAAAAAUCUAGCUAAAGGUUGGGUUUAAAGUGCUUUCUGAAUUAUUUAAUUUUUAGAGAGAGAAAUUGGGUUUAUGCUGCCCAUUUUGUUACGAGUAUUUAACAACUUGUCUCUUUAAAGGUAAAAGAAUAACUUUUAAAAAAUGAGGUUAAAUAAAUCGUUCAUCUUUCAAGGAUAGUCUGUGAUUGAUUAUUAUGCUGGGAUUAGUAAUAAUGUGAAGUU